CCAAAAGGGACAGAAAUUAAUCGUCGUCGUUUUGCAUGAAAGGCCCCCCCCUCCCUCAACUGGACCCCCCACCACGAAACCUCCACCGCAUGCCCCGUCUCCUAAGUCUCCUUCUCCGGCCACACAGCCGCCGGCGACUUCCCCCUCCACCUCACCAACAUCUCAUGCACCUUCGGCUAAUCCUCCUAAAGGGUCCUCUCCGACGCCGGCAACUUCACCUUCCACGUCUUCGCCUUAUCCUCCAAAAGGAUACUCUCCAGUGCCGGCGACUUCACCUUCCACGUCACCAUCAUCUCAUGCGCCUUCGCCUUAUCCUCCAAAAGGGUACUCUCCGGUGCCGGCAACUUCACCUUCUACGUCACCAUCAUCAUCCCAAUCACCUGCGGCUAAUGCUCCAACUGGGCUGUCACCGGCUCCGGGAACUUCCCCCUCCACGUCACCGUCAUCGCAACCACCUGCGGCUAAUGCUCCAACUGGGCUGUCACCGGCUCCGGGAACUUCCCCCUCCACGUCACCGUCAUCGCAGCCACCUGCGGCUAAUGCUCCAACAGGAGUAUCUCCCCCGCCGGGAACCUCCCCUUCCACGUCACCGCCGGCGGUUCCAUCGUCACCUGGUAAUGCGCCAUCAUUGGCGCCGUCGAACUCAAGUAAUCCGGCUGGUGGGACGCCACCGCCGUCG
rnacentral:lncRNA from 1 species